rnacentral:rRNA from 1 species
GCCAGACUCCUACGGGAGGCAGCAGUGGGGAAUAUUGGGCAAUGGGCGCAAGCCUGACCCAGCAACGCCGCGUGAAGGAAGAAGGCUUUCGGGUUGUAAACUUCUUUUCUGGGGGACGAAGAAAGUGACGGUACCCCAGGAAUAAGCCACGGCUAACUACGCGCCAGCAGCCGCGGUAAUACGUAGGUGGCAAGCGUUAUCCGGAUUUAUUGGGUGUAAAGGGCGUGUAGGCGGGAAUGCAAGUCAGAUGUGAAAACUAUGGGCUCAACCCAUAGCCUGCAUUUGAAACUGUAUUUCUUGAGUGCUGGAGAGGCAAUCGGAAUUCCGUGUGUAGCGGUGAAAUGCGUAGAUAUACGGAGGAACACCAGUGGCGAAGGCGGAUUGCCGGACAGUAACUGACGCUGAGGCGCGAAAGCGUGGGGAGCAAACAGGAUUAGAUACCCUAGUAGGC